rnacentral:rRNA from 1 species
UACGUAGGGUGCAAGCGUUGAUCGGAAUUACUGGGCGUAAAGCGUGCGCAGGCGGUGAUGUAAGACAGGUGUGAAAUCCCCGGGCUUAACCUGGGAACUGCAUUUGUGACUGCAUCGCUAGAGUACGGCAGAGGGGGAUGGAAUUCCGCGUGUAGCAGUGAAAUGCGUAGAUAUGCGGAGGAACACCGAUGGCGAAGGCAGCCCCCUGGGUCAAGAUUGACGCUCAUGCACGAAAGCGUGGGGAGCAAACAGG